UACGUAGGGUCCGAGCGUUGUCCGGAUUUACUGGGCGUAAAGAGCGCGCAGGCGGUCAGAUAAGUCGAAUGUGAAAGCCCCCGGCUCAACUGGGGAGGGUCAUUCGAUACUGUUCGACUCGAAGGCAGGAGAGGGAAGUGGAAUUCCCGGUGUAGUGGUGAAAUGCGUAGAUAUCGGGAGGAACACCAGUGGCGAAGGCGAACUUCCUGGCCUGUUCUUGACGCUGAGGCGCGAAAGCUAAGGGGAGCAAAGCGGGG
rnacentral:rRNA from 1 species